GUGUUGGUUUCGGCAGCACAUAUCUAAAUGGGAAAGAUACAGAGAAGAUUGGCAUGGCCCUUGUACAAGGAUGACACACAUGGAUUAAAAAAAAAGAAAAAAUUA
rnacentral:snRNA from 1 species